rnacentral:lncRNA from 1 species
UUAUAUUUGUAUUAAUUCAAUGAAACUAGAAAGCAGGUAUGUUCUAGACGUUACAUAUGUCUCGACUAUCGACUUUGGUACAAUAUAUAUAAUCGGAAUGCUAUGAGUCUGAGACCUUGUAGCCCUAGCAGAUUCUAUUCCAACUGGGUUACACUUAGAUGGAGAUCAAUAUAUAGUUUGAUCUUUGAUGGAGUCUAAGAGAUCAAGGUACAAUUAAUAUAAGGGAAAUCAAUAUAUAUUAGAUGCUUCUUUGCUAAAACUUAACUGAACCAGUACUCAUUGAAACCCCAAUAGGCAGUUUAUGGAUGCAUUGAAGACUAUUGAAUCAAACACUUAGAACAAAGAUUGUAAUUUAUAAAGACUUCUUCUUUAUUGCUUUAGAAAAUUACUCAAAACUAAAG